AUAAGUUAGUUUCUUCGGUUUUGGCUGCAAGUACUCUGCUUUUCAUUCUGCUUAAUUUUUCGACUGGUAUGUCUCUUCUAGUUUUAGUACUGCCUUUCUCCUAUGUAUUUCUUAUUCAGUUCUCUCUGUGAUUAUUUCUACUACUUUCUGCAAUUUGUUAUUCCUGCUCUUAUAUUAACUCCCCAUCCCUAUACUCCUUUGAAUGAUGAGUUAAGUCUAAGAAAGCAUGACAAUAUUUAAGAUUGUUGUUCAUGUACAUGGACUAGAUUGUUUGAAUCUAAACUCUUUAAAUUCCCAUUCUCUUUUCCCCUAUGUGCACUCUAAGCCCAAGACCUUGGUCUCGUAGUGUCCUAAUAACUG
rnacentral:lncRNA from 1 species